rnacentral:rRNA from 1 species
GAUGAACGCUGGCGGCGUGCCUAAUACAUGCAAGUCGAGCGAACGGACGAGAAGCUUGCUUCUCUGAUGUUAGCGGCGGACGGGUGAGUAACACGUGGAUAACCUACCUAUAAGACUGGGAUAACUUCGGGAAACCGGAGCUAAUACCGGAUAAUAUUUUGAACCGCAUGGUUCAAAAGUGAAAGACGGUCUUGCUGUCACUUAUAGAUGGAUCCGCGCUGCAUUAGCUAGUUGGUAAGGUAACGGCUUACCAAGGCAACGAUGCAUAGCCGACCUGAGAGGGUGGUCGGCCACACUGGAACUGGGACACGGUCCAGACUCCUACGGGAGGCAGCAGUAGGGAAUCUUCCGCAAUGGGCGACAGCCUGACGGAACAACGCCGCGUGAGUGGUGAAGGUCUUCGGAUCGUAAAACUCUGUUAUUAGGGAAGAACAUAUGUGUAAGUAACUGUGCACAUCUUGGCGGUACCUAAUCAGAAAGCCACGGCUAACUACGUG